GUGAGCUUCAUGGCGGCCCAUCUUGGUCUUAGCCUUCCUUGUCCUAUGGGCCAGGCACACGAAGGGGUCUUUGUUCUACACUUGCGGCCAAUCUGAAGGCGCGGGAAGAAAGAGCGUGCAGGAGGGCGGACCCGAGCCAUUCUGCUAGUGUUUACAACUAAUGUCGGAGGCCAGUGAUGGCAAACCUUUUGGAGUGACGCCCAAACUGGGCAUCCUCCAACCCAAAGGAGGGGACGAUGGAUCAUUUGGAUGACAUGAAACGGAAAAGCUUCCGCACAAGUAGGAUAAGAAGAGAAACCGUCAACCGGGGAGGAUUUCUUGUCCAUGCAUCUUCCAAGGGGUUGGUAUAAAAUACGCGUCUCCUAGGCUUCUCUUCGUUCUAGAAUGCACAGAAAUGUUUCUAGACCUGCGCACAUAUACAGAUGGGGGACAGGGGAGCCAGAGACAGGCAGCUCAGUCCAAAAGCCGGAUAUGCACAGUUCUCAAAAGGGCUGCAAGUUAUUCACGACUCUAGGAAACAUCGUUCUAUAUCCUCAGGAAGCGACAAGGGAAACAACUCUCGACUUUCACUUCAUCUUCACUGAAUGGGCCAAGAUGACAAAAGAUUAUUCCUGUCAAUGGUGGAGAGGUUUGGGGAAAACUAGCAAACUAACAUAUGGCUGGAGCUGAGAACUGGCUCAGCCAUUGGGAAAGCCAUUGGGAAUGAUGCUAAGAAAAUGGCUAAAAUGUCCAUCUCCUUUGACCCAGAGAUUCCAUCGCUAGGCCUAGACCCCAAGGAGGUCAUUGAUGAGAAGCAAAUCCCCAGAGAUCAAAAUUAUUUUAGUGGCUUUUUUGUAGUGCAAAAAAAUGGAACUGAAGUCGAUGCCUAACAUUUGGAGAAGAGCUAAACAAUUGGUGGUACGGGAAUUCAAUGGAAUAUUUCCUUGCUGUAAGAAAAAACAAAUAUAAUAAUUACAGAAGCAUGAAAAGUCUUAUGUAAACAGUCAAAAUGAAAUAGAAUAAAUAUGUGAGUGUAUGUACAUAUACACACACAUCUAUAACCAGGUCCGUAUAAAUAAAAGCCAUGAAACAACUGAAAAAUGAAUGUUGCAGAAUUACAAAGAACAGGCUUGGCCCCAAAGAUUAAAUAUGGGAAGACAUCUCCACAAUUCCUUUGAAGAACUAAGGUAUGUUCGUUCAGGAGAGAAUGUUGCCUAUAUUACCAGAUCUUUUCAAUUAGUUGUUUUGCUUAUUUAACAGGAAAACUAAGAAUUCAAAGGAAAUGGCUAAUUAUCAACAAAAGCCCAAAUUAAAAAAAAUAUAAGAAAUCUACUCAAUGUCAAAAAUAAAUAAUUUUCUCUUUACAAA